CUACGGGCCGCAGCAGUGGGGAAUAUUGGGCAAUGGGCGAAAGCCUGACCCAGCAACGCCGCGUGAUUGAAGAAGGUCUUCGGAUUGUAAAAAUCUGUCCUUGGGGACGAAAAAAAUGACGGUACCCAAGGAGGAAGCCCCGGCUAACUACGUGCCAGCAGCCGCGGUAAUACGUAGGGGGCGAGCGUUGUCCGGAAUUACUGGGCGUAAAGGGUGCGCAGGCGGCGCUUUAAGUCAGAUGUGAAAUACCCAGGCUUAACCUGGGGGGUGCAUUUGAAACUGGAGUGCUUGAGUGCAGGAGAGGAAAGUGGAAUUCCUAGUGUAGCGGUGAAAUGCGUAGAUAUUAGGAGGAACACCAGUGGCGAAGGCGACUUUCUGGACUGUAACUGACGCUGAGGCACGAAAGCGUGGGGAGCAAACAGGAUUAGAUACCCUCGUAGUC
rnacentral:rRNA from 1 species